rnacentral:pre_miRNA from 1 species
AAUAAACGAAUUUCUGUGUUUUUUUAGAAUUUUUGACUCUUCGUCUUAUUUGAAAUUUUUUUAUGAUUAAUUUUUUUAUUGUUACUACGUGAUAAAACAUGAAUAGUACUUUACGUGUGACUAAUAUUUUUUAAUUUUUUAAUAAAAUUUUUAAAUAAGACAAAUGGUCAAACGCGCGACCUACGAAACCUAGAAAUCCUCUUUUU